ensembl:lncRNA
CGGCGCGGCAGAAGCCGCCGCUCCCUGCGCGUCCCGCGGCGGUGCGGACGCCUCCUCCGGGACGGGGCUGCCCGAUCGCUCUCCGGUCCCUGCGCUCCGGCGCUGCCGCUCCCGCGCCGACGAAAGGCGGGGGAUUUCCGUUCUCCCGGCCCCGGUGGGGGAACGCGACCUGUUCGCCGGCACGCGUGGAGCCGUCCCGGGGCAGGAGCUCGGAGUUCUUCCAAAGCUCCUCGACAUUUCAUGUUCAUUCAUGCACUGCCCCGUGCCCAGUUCAUUUAACCGGCCCCCAGAUUACCCUAUUACCGCUCUCAAACUGUUUACCCGUUCAUCCACGGCUGAAGCAGAGAAAAGGGCACCUCCUGACACCAUGGACAGCGCAAGGGACAGAAUUACCCAAAGAAUAAGACAGCAAGAUCCCUUUCCAAGGAGAUUGGCACAGGUUUAUACACCUGGUCACAGGCACCUGGCACCCCUCUAACACUGCUCCCACCACUGGACAGAAGAGGCAAAAAUGGGGCUGUGAAAGUGUUCUGAUGACAUCAGUAUGCUUCCCUGGCAACAAAUACUAUAUCCUACCUACUCGUUCAUCAGUACAAUUGGGUAAAAACAGAAAAUGUGGAAAGGAGUAUGGGUGAGUACUAAAAGCUACUCCUUGAAGAGCUCCAGUGAUUCCUCAAGCAAGGUUCAGUAUUACUUCCACAUUCCCCUUGACCUCUUCAGCAACACUGAAGUACAGAGAUCUCAAUUGCUGAAUAUCAGUGGUACAAGACAGGGAUACUUCCUGCUGAACCAUACGAUGAUACUCCAAACAAGGAAUCUAUAACUAGAUUUAAUGAGAUUAGGAACCCCAAACAGGACUCCAUUGAAAGUGGGCUUAGGAGAAGAAUCCUCUCUCUGAUGCUCUGAAACACUGCAAAUGGGAGUUUUCUAGCAUAAUCAAAAUCAUCUAACAAGCCAAGAAGUGCAAAACAUAUCUUUCCACAGAGUUCUCCAUAGCAAGUUUAAAGCCUUAAUUUUUGACCUUUAAAGCACUAUGUGGUCUCUCUCUCUCUUUUUUUUUUUUUUUAAAUAAAUACAAAUUAGAUAGCUACAGUAUUGAAGUUCUUUACAAAAAUCCCACUGGGUAUCUAUCUUUGAAAAUCUGGCACUAACCAAGUUUUGAGCUAAAUCCUAAGUGGCCUAGAUCCCAACCUCAGAGGAGGUUAGGCUAGCACAGAAUCCUAACCACAAAAGCAUGAGGGCAGUAAGCCAACAAUGCCAGUUUAAGCACUGCUGGCAGGACUGUGUCCCCUUACACAUCUCCCCUCUGAGCCUCAUGGCUCAGAGUGAGGCCACAAGAGUGGCAGCAGGUCUGUCUUGUCCAGUUACAGAUUCUGCACAGCAACUCAGCCAGUGUGUACUCUUGUAUUUGCUGGGCUCAGCCAGGGCUUUAAGACAGG